rnacentral:lncRNA from 1 species
CCAAGGCCAGAAAGGAUGCGCACACACCCCGAGAAGUACAACCCUAACAAAUUCUGUCUCUAUCAUCGUGACCACAGCCACGACACGGAGGAGUGCAUUCAGCUCCGAGAUAAGAUCGAGGAGCUCAGUAGAUGAGGUCGGCUCGAUAGAUUCAUUCGACACCGGUCUAAAGGUAGGAAAGAUCAGCCGAGGGCCCUGCCACAACUGGAGCC